rnacentral:lncRNA from 12 species
CCAGGGAAGAUGCAGCCACCUUGGUCCUGAUAGCGAAUUUUUGGGAGUUUGUGGGGACCUGGAUUUGUCAGAGACACCGCCACCCCCUCCUGUCACCGAAUUUUUGGGAGUUUGUGGUGAUCUGCACAGGCAGAGCCACCACGCUGGUGGCCCUGGGAGGGGACAGACACAGCGUCCCCCCACCUCCUGUCAGUGAAUUUUUGGGAAUUAGAGGUGACCUGAACAUGACAGAGCCACUCCGCUGGUGGCCCUGGGAGGGGACAGACCCAGUGCCACCCCGCUCCUGUCACCGAAUUUUUGGGAGCUCACAGUGACCCGCAGAGUUUGUGGGGACCUGGAUUUGUCAGAGACACCGCCACCCCCUCCUGUCACCGAAUUUUUGGGAGUUUGUGGUGAUCUGCACAGGCAGAGCCACCACGCUGGUGGCCCUGGGAGGGGACAGACACAGCGCUCCCCCACCUCCUGUCAGUGAAUUUUUGGGAAUUAGAGGUGACCUGAACAUGACAGAGCCACUCCGCUGGUGGCCCUGGGAGGGGACAGACCCAGUGCCACCCCUCUCCUGUCACCGAAUUUUUGGGAGUUUGUGGUGACCUGAACAUGGCAGAGUCACCUUGCUCAUGGCCCUGGGAGGGGACAAGAGGAGGGGACACACCCAGGGGUGCUGCAGCCACCUCGCUCCUGUCACCGAAUUUUUGGGAGCUCACAGUGACCCGCAGAGGCAGAGCCACCUCGCUGGUGGCCCUGGGGGACGACAGACGCAGUGCCACCCCCUCCAGCCAGUGAAUUUUUGGGAGUUUGUGGUGACCCGGACACGGCAAAGCCACAGCCACCCCCUCCAGCCAGUGAAUUUUUGGAGCCCGCACACGGCAGAGCCACCUCGCUGGUGGCUCGGGGAGGGGACAGGGCGGCCCCUCCCGCGGGGAGCGGAGCUGUCACCUCGCUGCUCCCGUCAGCCCCGGCAGCCCCAAAUCGCCGCUGACAUUUCCAUCGCAGCCCUCGGCACCUGCGCCGAGCUGGAAGCUGGAAGGGAAUUUUUUUGUGCCAAGGAACAGAUUCCUGCUCGCUCCUCGCUGCCCCCUUGGUGUCCGAACCUGGCUCCAGCCCCACCGGCAGUGACAAAGCGGGGACAGCUGGGAUUUGGGAUCAGGAGAGAACUGGGGUGGACUGGAAGAGCUUUCCAUGGGCAACAGAGAGUUCCCAUGGGAUGGAGCGGGCGGGGAUGGGGAAAAGAGAGGGAAUUGUUCCCGUUGGAAGGGGGGAACAGGAGUGGGGGAAAAAGGAGAGGGAAUUUUUCCCGUUAAAUGGAGGGAACAGGGAUGGGGGAAAGGGAAUUGUUCCAGUUGGAUGGAGGGAACAGGGACGGGGAAAAG